rnacentral:rRNA from 1 species
UACGUAGGCAGCAAGCGUUGUUCGGAGUUACUGGGCGUAAAGGGUGUGUAGGCGGUCUUCUAAGUUUGGUGUGAAAUCUCCCGGCUCAACUGGGAGGGUGCGCCGAAAACUUGGAGGCUAGAGUGCGGGAUGGGAGAGUGGAAUUCCUGGUGUAGCGGUGAAAUGCGUAGAUAUCAGGAGGAACACCUGUGGUGUAGACGGCUCUCUGGACCGCAACUGACGCUGAGACACGAAAGCGUGGGUAGCAAACAGG